GUCAGGCGUUUUUCGGCUUGUAGACGAUGCGAUUGCUAAAUCAAAUAAAAAUAGGAAAAUUGUAGGUCUUGGAAUACUGUACUAGAUGGAGCAGAUGGCGGCUAUUACCUUCAAUGAAGGGCAAGAGUUUGACGCUUGUUCUUUGGGCAAUAGGCGUUCUGGGGUGCAUGGGGCUUCCUGCACCUCGGAGCACUUCGGGAACUCCCAAGUGUAGACCUUCUCUCGAAUAGUAAUCUUGCCACCGUGUAGCAAAGGACGCUUGCCUGAAGCAUGGAUGGCCACGUCGUUGAGAUGAAUGGGAUCUCCGCUGGACUUGUUGUAUAUGAUGACCUAAGUGCGGAAAAAGCAGUAUGUUAAGGCGGUAAAAGGGGACUCCUGCCUUCCAGACUCACCCUGCCGAAGGCAUCGCAGUUAAUCUCGCAAAUUAGACGCUCCUCCUCUGGCCCCUCCAGGAUGAGGUCGCAAUUGUAGUAGGAGCCCACCUGGAAGGUGCGCCCUUUGGCUGCCAGAACCACGGUUUUACCAUUUUCGUCCUCGUAGCGCAACCUGCCGCCAUCCAGCGACAUUUUCCAAGCGGCGUCGCAAAUGCGGCUUGGGUGCGGGGAAAACGAAUACCGAAGCGAGCACUUUGAAAAGCCGCAAAGCUAUUGGAAAUAAUACGACACUGUUUUUACGGCUGACAUUACGAGCUUGUCAUAGUUAAUUGUAACUCUGUGAAGGAAUUUUUUUUUUGCAAUGGACGCGCAAGCCUUGCCAACUCGUUUCUAAUGCGCCGGCUUAUGCGUUACAUUUAAAAUUCUGGGCGCAGGAACUGACAACUUACUUAAAUUAAAAGUGGUAUAUAUUUUGUGGUUAUUAAUGAUGGUUAAUCUCUAGAAGUGAAAAGAAAUCUGUAUUAUGUGAAUCUCUUUGUCAAAUAAAAAAUAUAAGGUAAAA
rnacentral:sRNA from 1 species